GCCACUGGGUUGGAGAUCUGCCGAAGCGUUCAGGCACUGGAACAUGGGGCUCCCACAGAGGAGGCUGGCUGCAACGAGAAGGAGAGAUGGUUGAGAGUGCCGAGCCAGUGGUCUUUUGGUUUCCCGCUGCUCCUGAAUCAUGUACUCAUGUUGGUGGACAACUUCCUUUAGAUCAAACAGAUACUGAAUUUCAAAACCGCCCGGGCUCCCUUCUGAGGAGAUGGGAGGGGCGACUGCACAGGAUCAGAAAAAGCCACAGAGAAUUGUAA